rnacentral:rRNA from 1 species
CCUACGGGAGGCAGCAGUGGGGAAUAUUGCACAAUGGGGGAAACCCUGAUGCAGCGACGCCGCGUGAGUGAAGAAGUAUUUCGGUAUGUAAAGCUCUAUCAGCAGGGAAGAAAUAGCGACCUGUGGGUCGCCAGACGGUACCUGCUUAAGAAGCCCCGGCUACCUACGUGCCAGCAGCCUCGGUAAUACGUAGGGGGCAAGCGUUAUCCGGAUUUACUGGGUGUAAAGGGAGCGUAGACGGCAGCGCAAGUCUGAAGUGAAAUGCCGGGGCUUAACCCCGGAACUGCUUUGGAAACUGUGCAGCUAGAGUGCAGGAGAGGUAAGUGGAAUUCCUAGUGUAGCGGUGAAAUGCGUAGAUAUUAGGAGGAACACCAGUGGCGAAGGCGGCUUACUGGACUGUAACUGACGUUGAGGCUCGAAAGCGUGGGGAGCAAACAGGAUUAGAUACCCUGGUAGUC